UGAUGAAGGCCUUAGGGUUGUAAAGCACUUUAAGUUGGGAGGAAGGGCAGUCAGCGAAUACCUUGCUGUCUUGACGUUACCGACAGAAUAAGCACCGGCUAACUCUGUGCCAGCAGCCGCGGUAAUACAGAGGGUGCAAGCGUUAAUCGGAAUUACUGGGCGUAAAGCGCGCGUAGGUGGUUUGUUAAGUUGAAUGUGAAAUCCCCGGGCUCAACCUGGGAACUGCAUCCAAAACUGGCAAGCUAGAGUAGGGCAGAGGGUGGUGGAAUUUCCUGUGUAGCGGUGAAAUGCGUAGAUAUAGGAAGGAACACCAUGUGGCGAAGGCGACCACCUGGGCUCAUACUGACACUGAGGUGCGAAAGCGUGGGGAGCAAACAGGAUUAGAUACCCU
rnacentral:rRNA from 1 species